rnacentral:tRNA from 1 species
CUCCCCCCUCGCGCACCAGCCGGAAGCGCCCCCGGGCCCCGGCCCCGGGGGGGUCCCCCGCGCCCGGGCCGCCCCGGGGGGGGGGGG